ACGAACGCUGGCGGCAUGCCUCACACAUGCAAGUCGAACGAAGGCUUCGGCCUUAGUGGCGCACGGGUGCGUAACGCGUGGGAAUCUGCCCUUUGGUUCGGAAUAACAGCUGGAAACGGCUGCUAAUACCGGAUGAUGACGAAAGUCCAAAGAUUUAUCGCCAGAGGAUGAGCCCGCGUUGGAUUAGGUAGUUGGUGGGGUAAAGGCCUACCAAGCCGACGAUCCAUAGCUGGUCUGAGAGGAUGAUCAGCCACACUGGGACUGAGACACGGCCCAGACUCCUACGGGAGGCAGCAGUGGGGAAUAUUGGACAAUGGGCGCAAGCCUGAUCCAGCAAUGCCGCGUGAGUGAUGAAGGCCCUAGGGUUGUAAAGCUCUUUUACCCGGGAAGAUAAUGACUGUACCGGGAGAAUAAGCCCCGGCUAACUCCGUG
rnacentral:rRNA from 1 species